rnacentral:miRNA from 1 species
UGAGUGUGUGUGUGUGUGUGUGUGUGCGUGUGUGUGCGCACUAGAAGCCAGGCUAAGGCA